GCCCGGGUGGUGGAAUUGGUAGACGCAGAGGACUCAAAAUCCUCCGACCUCAGGGUCUUGCGGGUUCGAGUCCCGCCCCGGGCA
rnacentral:tRNA from 1 species